UACAGCGUUUUGUGCUGCAUGUGCA
rnacentral:piRNA from 1 species